UGCCUGGGACAGUAUGGUGGGUGGGAGGAUCACAGGACCUGUGUGCCAGUGACUUGGGUUUGAGUCCCAGCUCUGGCUUUACUGAGUUAAGUUGCUUUCAGAAAGUCAUUCAACCUCUGUGGGCCUUAUUUUCAGUGAUAAGACAUAUGGGGAAUGAUUACCUUUUAGUCCCAUCCUGUGACAGUAUGGUUUGUUUCUAAAGCCUGGUUGGCACUGACUUCUCACCCUGCUGU